AGAACGAACGCUGGCGGCAGGCUUAACACAUGCAAGUCGAACGCGUGUAGCAAUACACGAGUGGCGCACGGGUGAGUAACGCGUGGAUAUCUGCCUUUUGGUUCGGAAUAACCCCGGGAAACUGGGGCUAAAUACCGGAUGGUUCCUACGGGAUAAAGAUUUAUCGCCAAAAGAUGAGUCCGCGUACGAUUAGCUAGUUGGUGAGGUAAUGGCUCACCAAGGCGACGAUCGUUAGCUGGUCUGAGAGGACGAUCAGCCACACUGGGACUGAGACACGGCCCAGACUCCUACGGGAGGCAGCAGUGGGGAAUAUUGGACAAUGGGGGCAACCCUGAUCCAGCCAUGCCGCGUGAGUGAUGAAGGCCUUCGGGUUGUAAAGCUCUUUUGGCGGGACGAUGAUGACGGUACCGCAGAAUAAGCCCCGGCUAACUUCGCGCCAGCAGCCGC
rnacentral:rRNA from 1 species